rnacentral:rRNA from 1 species
UNUGACUUGAGUGCAGAAGGGGAGAGUGGAAUUCCAUGUGUAGCGGUGAAAUGCGUAGAUAUAUGGAGGANCACCAGUGGCGAAAGCGGCUCUCUGGUCUGUCACUGACGCUGAGGCUCGAAAGCGUGGGUAGCGAACAGGAUUAGAUACCCUGGUAGUCCACGCCGUAAACGAUGAGUGCUAGGUGUUAGGCCCUUUCCGGGGCUUAGUGCCGGAGCUAACGCAAUAAGCACUCCGCCUGGGGAGUACGACCGCAAGGUUGAAACUCAAAGGAAUUGACGGGGGCCCGCACAAGCGGUGGAGCAUGUGGUUUAAUUCGAAGCAACGCGAAGAACCUUACCAGGUCUUGACAUCCCGAUGCUAUUCUUAGAGAUAGGAAGUUACUUCGGUACAUCGGAGACAGGUGGUGCAUGGUUGUCGUCAGCUCGUGUCGUGAGAUGUUGGGUUAAGUCCCGCAACGAGCGCAACCCUUAUUGUUAGUUGCCAUCAUUAAGUUGGGCACUCUAGCGAGACUGCCGGUAAUAAACCGGAGGAAGGUGGGGAUGACGUCAAAUCAUCAUGCCCCUUAUGACCUGGGCUACACACGUGCUACAAUGGUCGGUACAACGAGUUGCGAGCCGGUGACGGCAAGCUAAUCUCUGAAAGCCGAUCUCAGUUCGGAUUGGAGGCUGCAACUCGCCUCCAUGAAGUCGGAAUCGCUAGUAAUCGCGGAUCAGCACGCCGCGGUGAAUACGUUCCCGGGCCUUGUACACACCGCCCGUCACACCACGAGAGUUUGUAACACCCGAAGUCGGUGAGGUANCCUUUUAGGGGCCA